CGGCCGCCAUCCCCAAGCCCUCCGCCUCUUGGUUGCGCGCGCCUCCUCACCCUCGCAGCCCCGUUGUCCUCUGGAAAGGCCCGCGCGCUGCCGAGCACACCUCCCAACCCGGAUGCAGUCCUGACGCACCGGAAGUCCCGCCCAGCGUCCAGGUCUCCGAUGUGCCUCCGGAGCUGUGGAUGCUUCUGCUGUUGAUGGAGAAAGACCAUGAAGAGCUGGGAAGAUCCCAAGACGGUCAUUCAUAGCAGGGAGGAAACUUUCUUCUGGCAUACAUUAGAUAGGCUUUUGCUCACUUCUUAACUUUGUCAUUAGGCAUUUCUUAAUCUACCCACACUUAAAAAAAAA
rnacentral:lncRNA from 1 species